rnacentral:tRNA from 1 species
GGUUCCGCGUAGCUCAGUUGACAGAGUAUUGGGCUAGUGUUCCAAAGGUCGUAGGUUCGAUUCCCACCGUGGCCA